rnacentral:lncRNA from 1 species
CCCGUCCAGCUGGGGAAGCUGGUGCAGACUGGCGUGUAGAACACAGGAAGCCGGAGGGAGGGCCAUUUCCCCUUUCGCCCUCGAAAGUCCCCUCCCUCCCCCCGGGUGUGCAGCAAGAUGUCAAACCGGGGGCCGUGGGGAGACCCUCCCUUGCGGCGGAGCUCCACGACUCUACUAUCUUAACUCUACUUGGGGGGCCUCCUUAUACCCCAACCCCCAGAUUCUAGUUGCCGAAGGGAGACAGGAUACAGAAGACCCAGCAGACAUGAGUGAAAACAGCUGCCUGCACAAGUUGUCCCCUAACAGGUACAGCCAAGAGUCAGAAGCACAGAGGGAGCUGGGGAAGCGACAUUUCUUACAGAGCCCACUGCUGUCCCUGUGUGAAGUGGCUCAUAUCAGCUCUCGAUUCUAUGCCGGUGUUCUGGAUUUCCUCUUGAGAUGUGCAUUUGUAUCAGCCAUCCUGUCCCCUGUGCCUCUGACGAGCUCCCUUCUGGAUGGCCUGCUGUCAUGCUGAGAUGACCCUUCACUAACAUCUGAGAAGUCCCUUUGCUGUUCUACGGUGUGGAAAACUUGUUUCCUCCAUCUCAUGUCUUCUUCCUUGCUUAAUUCCUUUGUUUAAUGAAACAAAUUAAUUCCUUUGUUAAUGAAACUUCCCAAUAGUUUCCUAAGAAAAGUGUGUAAGUGGUCAACUAUUUGCAACCUAAUAUGUCUGAAAAUUCUACAUAUACUUUUAACAUGUAGUUUGAUUGGGUAGAUGAGUCCAGUGUGGAAAUAUUUUUUCAAAAAUUAGAAGCUAUUGCACUAUUGUCUUGUAGUAUGGUGUGUUGCUUUUGAGAAGUUGUAAGCCAUUUUUUUUUAAUCCUUUGUGUGUUUAUAUCUUUUCUUCUGUUUUUGCAC